GGAUCGAUGCGUUCUCUUGUUUUAUCAAGGCAUGUGAACCUACCUUUGUUGCCUCGGCAGGUCUGCAACCUACCCUGAGAGUCCCUACCCUGUAGGGACCUUACCCGGUAGUUGCGGGCAUAACCUGCCGGUGGUCUACCAAACUCUGUUUACUAUGUUAUUCUGAAUAAUAUAACUAAAUAAGUUAAAACUUUCAACAACGGAUCUCUUGGUUCUGGCAUCGAUGAAGAACGCAGCGAAAUGCGAUAAGUAAUGUGAAUUGCAGAAUUCAGUGAAUCAUCGAAUCUUUGAACGCACAUUGCGCCCAUUAGUAUUCUAGUGGGCAUGCCUGUUCGAGCGUCAUUUCAACCCUUAAGCCCUGUUGCUUAGCGUUGGGAGCCUACAGAUACACUCUGUAGUUCCUUAAAGUUAGUGGCGGAGUCGGUUUCACACUCUAGACGUAGUAAAUUUUAUCUCGCCUAUAGAUGAGCCGGUCCCUUGCCGUAAAACCCCCUAAUUUCUAAAGGUUGACCUCGGAUCAGGUAGGAAUACCCGCUGAACUUAAGCAUAUCAAUAAGCGGGAGGAAAAA
rnacentral:rRNA from 1 species